rnacentral:rRNA from 1 species
UACGAAGGGGGCUAGCGUUGCUCGGAAUCACUGGGCGUAAAGGGUGCGUAGGCGGGUCUUUAAGUCAGGGGUGAAAUCCUGGAGCUCAACUCCAGAACUGCCUUUGAUACUGAGGAUCUUGAGUUCGGGAGAGGUGAGUGGAACUGCGAGUGUAGAGGUGAAAUGCGUAGAUAUCCGGAGGAACACCAGUGGCGAAAGCGGCCACCUGGACUGCACCUGACGCUGACACGCGAAAGCUAGGGGAGCGAACGGG